rnacentral:rRNA from 1 species
UACGAAGGGGGCUAGCGUUGUUCGGAAUCACUGGGCGUAAAGCGCACGUAGGCGGAUCUUUAAGUCAGGGGUGAAAUCCCGAGGCUCAACCUCGGAACUGCCUUUGAUACUGGGGAUCUCGAGUCCGGAAGAGGUGAGUGGAAUUCCGAGUGUAGAGGUGAAAUUCGUAGAUAUUCGGAGGAACACCAGUGGCGAAGGCGGCUCACUGGUCCGGUACUGACGCUGAGGUGCGAAAGCGUGGGGAGCAAACAGG